rnacentral:rRNA from 1 species
AUUGAACGCUGGCGGCAGGCCUAACACAUGCAAGUCGACCUUAGUGGCGAACGGGUGAGUAACCCGUGGGUAACCUGCCCAUCAGAAGGGGAUAACACUUGGAAACAGGUGCUAAUACCGUAUACCUAUGGAUGGACCCGCGGUGCAUUAGCUAGUUGGUGGGGUAAAGGCCUACCAAGGCGACGAUCCGUAACGGGUCUGAGAGGAUGAUCAGUCACACUGGAACUGAGACACGGUCCAGACUCCUACGGGAGGCAGCAGUGGGGAAUAUUGGACAAUGGGAGAAAGCCUGAUCCAGCAAUGCCGCGUGUGUGAAGAAGGUCUUCGGAUUGUAAAGCACUGUAAGUUGGGAGGCGGUACCAACAGAAUAAGCACCGGCUAACUUCGUGCCAGCAGCCGCGGUAAUAC